GAUGAAGAACGUAGCGAAAUGCGAUAAGUAAUGUGAAUUGCAGAAUUCAGUGAAUCAUCGAAUCUUUGAACGCACCUUGCGCUCCUUGGCAUUCCGAGGAGCAUGCCUGUUUGAGUGUCAUUAAAUUCUCAAGACCUGUCUGCUUUUUUGAUAGGUAUUGGAUUUUGGGGGUUGCAGGCUGUUUCAAAUAAAUAGCCUUGCUCUCCUUGAAUGUAUUAGUGGAGAAAAGCCAUUGAACUCCAUUGGUGUGAUAAAACCUAUCAAUGCCAGGAGCAAUAUCACUACUUCUCUCUGCUGUCUAACUGUAACUGUCUGUAUUAAUUAGUAUGGAUGGGGACAACUUGACCAACUUGACCUCAAAUCAGGUAGGACUACCCGCUGAACUUAAGCAUAUCAAUAAGCGGAGGA
rnacentral:misc_RNA from 1 species